rnacentral:tRNA from 1 species
GGGCCUGUAGCUCAGCUGGCAAGAGCGCUACAUUUGCAAUGUAGAGGUCACCGGUUCGAGCCCGGUCAGGUCCA